GAACUGCGAUAAGUAAUGUGAAUUGCAGAAUUCAGUGAAUCAUCGAGUCUUUGAACGCACAUUGCGCCCCCUGGCAUUCCGGGGGGCAUGCCUGUCCGAGCGUCAUUGCUGCCCUUCAAGCCCGGCUUGUGUGUUGGGUCGUCGUCCCCUCCGGGGGACGGGCCCGAAAGGCAGCGGCGGCACCGCGUCCGGUCCUCGAGCGUAUGGGGCUUUGUCACCCGCUCGAUAAGGACCGGCCGGGCGCCAGCCGGCGUCUCCAACCUUUUUUUCUCAGGUUGACCUCGGGUCAGGUAGGGAUACCCGCUGAACUUAAGC
rnacentral:misc_RNA from 1 species